GUGUUUUAACUUAAUUGGAGUACCUCGGAUUUUUCAGACUUCAGGGGGAAAAGCACAUCUUUAAUUUAUUUUCCCUGAGUCAGGAAAAAUGAUUUACAGCCAUUAGAUUUGAUCUCUCUUCCAAAAGGCUGAAUGUUAAUCAUUCUUUCUUACCCAAAAAUCUUCUCUGUUGUAUCUUUCACAACUUGUGUUUGAAGAGAGUUACUUCUCUCCCUACAAAUCACUGAAUUUGUGCACUCUCUCUAAAUUGUAUAUUCCUGCUUAUUACCAGCCAAUUACUUUCAUGAGCGUCUCAUUUUCUUGUAAUACCUCAUUGAAUGUAGUCAACUGCAGCCAAAACACUGCUAAACUUCUCUUUUCUACCUUUUCCCUUAAAGCCACAAGUUCACUAGCUAUAUCACCUUUCAUUUAUUUCAGGUGACAACAUCAUCGAAGUUUUGCCAUGGGAUAGUAUUGAAAAACCAUGUUUUCAGUCUCUGAGAAGACUUUCCUCAUCACCUGCUGCCUGGACCUAAUGCCACAUUUACUAGGUUUUGUUGUUAUGGUAGCAUCUGUCCAAAGGGAGAACAGAAAAGAAGACCAAGAAGGUGCUGCUAGAGACAUAGCGUGGUGUAAUGAACACCAAGGUGGAGACUGCUUUAAGAAGAUAAAGUGGUUGACAUUUUGGAAUGAAUGAAAUAAAAGGAGAAG